rnacentral:rRNA from 1 species
AUACGUAGGAACCAAGCGUUGUCCGGAAUUACUGGGUGUAAAGGGUGCGCAGGCGGAUUUGUGCGUCAAGGGUUAAAUACCUCGGCUCAACCGAGGAAAUGCCUUUGAUACGGCAAGUCUUGAGUACGAGAGAGGAUGGUAGAAUUCCUGGUGUAGCGGUGAAAUGCGUAGAUAUCAGGAGGAAUACCCGUGGCGAAGGCGGCCAUCUGGCUCGUUACUGACGCUCAGGCACGAAAGCGUGGGGAGCAAACAGAAUUAGAAACCCGUGUAGUCC